AGUGAACGCUGGCGGUAGGCCUAACACAUGCAAGUCGAACGGCAGCACAGUAAGAGCUUGCUCUUACGGGUGGCGAGUGGCGGACGGGUGAGGAAUACAUCGGAAUCUACUUUUUAGUGGGGGAUAACGUAGGGAAACUUACGCUAAUACCGCAUACGACCUACGGGUGAAAGCAGGGGAUCUUCGGACCUUGCGCGAUUGAAUGCGCCGAUGUCGGAUUAGCUAGUUGGCGGGGUGAAGGCCCACCAAGGCGACGAUCCGUAGCUGGUCUGAGAGGAUGCUCAGCCACACUGGAACUGAGACACGGUCCAAACUCCUACGGGAAGCAGCAGUGGGGAAUAUUGGACAAUGGGCGCAAGCCUGAUCCAGCCAUACCGCGUGGGUGAAGAAGGCCUUCGGGUUCUAAAGCCCUUUUGUUGGGAAAGAAAAGCAGCAGGUUAAUACCCCGCUGUUCUGACGGUACCCAAAGAAUAAGCACCGGCUAACUUCGUG
rnacentral:rRNA from 1 species